rnacentral:rRNA from 1 species
UACGAAGAGGGCUAGCGUUGCUCGGAAUUACUGGGCGUAAAGGGAGCGUAGGCGGGUUAUCAAGUUGGGGGUGAAAGCCCGGGGCUCAACCUCGGAAUUGCCUUCAAAACUGAUAACCUGGAGUAUGGAAGAGGUAAGUGGAACUCCGAGUGUAGAGGUGAAAUUCGUAGAUAUUCGGAAGAACACCAGUGGCGAAGGCGACUUACUGGUCCAUUACUGACGCUGAGGCUCGAAAGCGUGGGGAGCAAACAGG